rnacentral:rRNA from 1 species
UGGGGAAUAUUGGACAAUGGGCGAAAGCCUGAUCCAGCAAUGCCGCGAGAGUGAUGAAGGCUUUAGGGGUGUAAAGCUCUUUUACCAGGGAUGAUAAUGACAGUACCUGGAGAAUAAGCUCCGGCUAACUACGUGCCAGCAGCCGCGGUAAUACGGAGGGAGCUAGCGUUGUUCGGAAUUACUGGGCGUAAAGCGCACGUAGGCGGCGACUCAAGUCAGAGGUGAAAGCCCGGGGCUCAACCCCGGAACUGCCUUUGAAACUAGGUUGCUACAGUCUUGGAGAGGUCAGUGGAAUUCCGAGUGUAAAGGUGAGAUUCGUAGAUAAUCGGAAGAACACCAGUGGCGAAGGCGACUGACUAGACAAGUAUUGACGCUGAGGUGCGAAAGCGUGGGGAGCAAACAGG